GUGCUUUGAAUUCACAUAUGGGUUGUAAUUGAAUUGCAAGAAAAUUGUGGUGUUCUGUGACUUUGUAUUUGAGGUUUUAAUUGAGUUAUUGAUCCGCUUGCUCAAAAUCCCCUUUUUGCAGCUUAUAAGCACUGAACUUACACUUUCCAAUCUCAGUAUAGUUUAGAAACCUUGAAUUUGACCCAAAUAAUCAUCACAUCAAAAUCCCCAAUUUUAGUUCUGCCUUUCUUCAUUUGAGCUUAAAUGGAUGAUGGGGAGCUAGAUGUCUUGAACCAAGAAGUAUUUUCGGCUACCAACAUGGGUGAGAUUCCGAGCAAUUGCUCAAUGGACAGUUUCUUCGAUGAAAUACUCAAGGAUACUCAUGCCUGUACUCACACACACACUUGCAACCCUCCUGGUCCUGAUUAUUCCCAUACACAUACCUGCUUUCAUGUACACACCAAA
rnacentral:misc_RNA from 1 species